UGGGGAAUAUUGCACAAUGGGCGAAAGCCUGAUGCAGCAACGCCGCGUGAGUGAUGAAAGGCCUUCGGGUUGUAAAGCUCUGUCUUUUGGGACGAUAAUGACGGUACCAAAGGAGGAAGCCACGGCUAACUACGUGCCAGCAGCCGCGGUAAUACGUAGGUGGCAAGCGUUGUCCGGAUUUACUGGGCGUAAAGGAUGCGUAGGCGGAUUUUUAAGUGAGAUGUGAAAACCCUAAGCUUAACUUGGGGACUGCAUUUCAUACUGGAAAUCUAGAGUGCGGGAGAGGAGAAUGGAAUUCCUAGUGUAGCGGUGAAAAUGCGUAGAGAUUAGGAAGAACACCAGUGGCGAAGGCGAUUCUCUGGACCGUAACUGACGCUGAGGCAUGAAAAGCGUGGGUAGCAAAACAGGAUUAGAUACCCUGGUAGUCCACGCCGUAAACGAUGAGUACUAGGUGUAGGAGGUAUCGACCCCUACUGUGCCGCAGUUAACACAAUAAGUACUCCGCCUGGGAAGUACGAUUGCAAGAUUAAAAACUC
rnacentral:rRNA from 1 species